GGUAGAUUUUGGAAAGUGUUUGGGCUUUGAAAGCUUUUAAAAAAGGGUUCGAUUCUCUUGUCUAUCUAUCU
rnacentral:tRNA from 1 species